AUUCUUUCUUCCUCAUGCUCUGGCGGCACUGGGUGGUACCGGCGGGGAUUCGGCUGGAUCAUCGACAACCAGGAGCCGGCGCGACCGGCUGCAGGUUCACCAAUCCCCACUCCUCGCUCUAAUCUCGCCUAGCUAGUCUUUCAAUCUUCGCAUAAUUGAUAGAGACAACGCGCGCCCAAUCCCGAACAAGGUUCACAGUUUUGUGGGAAAUCCGGGAGAUUAGGGCUUGGGGGCGUGGGGCGAUCAAGUUACUACCCAAAUCUAGAAGAAACACCAAGGCUGAUAAGAAAACCGAGGCUCUGUGACGAUGGAGGCAUGGUGGUGUGAGUGGUAGCGAGAGUAGAGGAAAUGGUGGUGCAGUGCCCUGUGGAACCAGUAGUAGAGAAACUCAACAGGUCCUGCGUGAAGCAACGCCAUGAUGAUGGCUCCCUUUGUUUCCCACAUUGGCAUGAGUCUGACACUCGGGAUGGCUGCAUAGGCCAAGUAGAAAUACAGCCCAGAGAGGAUGAUCUGGUCAUCCCUGUAGAGAAUGGUAUGUGCUAGUUAAUUUGAGUGUGAUAGAAGUGAAUAGCAGGAUGUGCGUAUAUAUGACUUACCAGGAUCUCUCCCGGUCCACCUGCUCGAAUUCAAGACUGCGGUCAACGAUGAUGUGCUUCCUGCGUGCGGUCUGGUGGCGAGACAAGCUAAUCCAGAUCUGAUUGUGGAGCAUCCUCAGAAGCAGAGCUGGCAAGAUGGCGGCGUAGGCUAGGUUCAUGUCCCCCCACCCCUUGGUGACCACCCUGUAUGCAGUUUGCAACGCCACAGGUGCGAAGACCAGGUGGUAAUCCGAUCUUUGAUCGUUUGGAAGCUAUUCUCGUGGCUUCAAGUUUGCAAACGUCUUCAUUUUGAAGAGAAAAGGGGGUUUAUCUAUGUCCAUUCAGUUGGUUAUGUGUGUGAACUAUGUGAAAAGUAAAGCUAUUGCCGGCGGUUCAUAUUAGGAUCACAAGGCCAAGAAACGCAAACGGUUCGAGGUUCCAUGGGAACGACAUGAGCUGCCAAGCAAUAUAUCUUUACGAUCUGAUUGCUUUUAUCAGCGAUUUUACCGGUUCAUAUGUUACUGUACUCAGGUCGCUAUCCACCGUGCAAGAAGCAUUCAAAGGAAUUUUCAAAAGUUUUUCUGGAUCAUGUGAAAACUGAAAAGUACUCGGGGCGGCAACAUGGGACUGGAACGCUUAUGCUAGAAUAUACUAUUUGCAAUUUAAAAUACAGGCAUGGACGUUCUGCAUCGUCUCCGGGAUUUUCAUUGCUGGGGUACUCAGGUAAUGGGCUCUGUGACGAUGGAGGCGUGGUGGUGUGAGUGGUAGCGGGAGUAGAGGAAAUGGUGGUGCAGCGCCCUGUGGAACCAGUAAUAGAGGAACUCGACAGGUCCUAUGUGAAGCAAGGCGGUGAUGAUGGCUCCCUCUGUUAUCCACACGGGCAUGCGACUGACAUUCGGGACAGCUGCGUAGGCCAGGAACUCUCCCGGUCCACCUGGUCGAAUUCAAGUCCACGGUCGACUAUGAUGUGCUUCCUGCGUGCGGUCUGGUGGCGAGACAAGCUGAUCCAGAUCUGGUUGUGGAUCAUCCUCAGCAGCAGAGCUGGUAAUAUGGCGGCGUAUGCCAGGCUCAUGUCUCCCCACCCCUUGGUGACCACCCUGUGCGCAGUGUGCAACGCCGCAGGCGCCAAGACCAGGUACUGUGUAUAUAGAGCAUCAGGUUAAAUGGAAAUACUGAUGGGUGGGAAUAAUAUGGGUUUACGACUGAAGAUCUGUGGCUUCUUCA